rnacentral:rRNA from 1 species
AUUGAACGCUGGCGGCAGGCCUAACACAUGCAAGUCGAGCGGAUGAGGAAAGCUUGCUUUUCGAUUCAGCGGCGGACGGGUGAGUAAUGCCUAGGAAUCUGCCUGUUAGUGGGGGAUAACGUUCCGAAAGGAACGCUAAUACCGCAUACGUCCUACGGGAGAAAGUGGGGGAUCUUCGGACCUCACGCUAAUAGAUGAGCCUAGGUCGGAUUAGCUAGUUGGUGAGGUAACGGCUCACCAAGGCGACGAUCCGUAGCUGGUCUGAGAGGACGAUCAGCCACACUGGAACUGAGACACGGUCCAGACUCCUACGGGAGGCAGCAGUGGGGAAUAUUGGACAAUGGGCGAAAGCCUGAUCCAGCCAUGCCGCGUGUGUGAAGAAGGUCUUCGGAUUGUAAAGCACUUUAAGUUGGGAGGAAGGGCAUUAACCUAAUACGUUAGUGUUUUGACGUUACCAACAGAAUAAGCACCGGCUAACUUCGUGCCAGCAGCCGCGGUAAAAC